rnacentral:rRNA from 1 species
UACGAAGGGGGCUAGCGUUGUUCGGAAUUACUGGGCGUAAAGGGCGCGUAGGCGGUCUUGUAAGUCAGGCGUGAAAGGCCCGGGCUCAACCUGGGGACUGCGCUUGAUACUGCGGGGCUUGAAUCCGGGAGAGGAUGGCGGAAUUCCCAGUGUAGAGGUGAAAUUCGUAGAUAUUGGGAAGAACACCGGUGGCGAAGGCGGCCAUCUGGCCCGGGAUUGACGCUGAGGCGCGAAAGCGUGGGGAGCAAACAGG